CACGGUGGCUCUAAAUAGUCACCCAAACCUUGAUACAAUCUGGAGCACAAGAGGCAUUUUUAUUGCAUCAGAUGCGACUAAGAAGUAACUCUUGAGAAGUUGAUAAACUCUCCCAAAAUACAGGGGGCCCUGGGAGCCAGCGCUGAUGAAAUAGGUGAUGCCAUGGUCAAGGCGAUUGCAGUUGGUGGUACAUAUUAUGAUUGGGAACACAAAGAGUUGUGGUUUAAAAUGGCGAAAAUAUUUAGAUGGAGCUCACUGCAUAUAUUAUAGCAUAUGCAAUUUCCAAAGGAAUAAUUUAAGAAGUGCAUGGAUCAGCACGUCAUGAAGGCCUUUAAAAUACAGCCAAGGGUUAGGGUUUUAGCAGGGACAACCCAUUGCUGGAAACAUGGCGCGAUCGUUGCCGGGAAUGCUUUUCUUUGCUUAUGGCUUGAUCGUGAAUCCUGGAUGAGGGCAUGGGAGCGAAUGUGAUUGAGAGUAAAAUGGGCGAUGUCAUCCAGGCAUAGCAGAAAAAAGAAAAGUCUGAGGUUGCCAUCCUAGCGGUGGAGCCACAAGACAAUAACCAACAUAAAUCAAUAUCUAUUUUCAAGGCUGAUUCGUGCCUAUUGGCAAUCUCUGACUCUUUUGCCCUCGUAUAAUUUACAGAAGUUAAUACAACCAAACUCUUCAACCAAAAUCUUCAUAAAUCUGAAUGAUCACUGAUCUAUGAAUGAAGAAAACUUGUGCUCAUCUCUCUAAUUGGGCUCUCUCCUUUGGUUCUUUCUCUAGUGAGGCGGCUUUCGGUUUUGUCCUUGAAAGGUACCGAAGUCCUCAUAUGACUAUCCAUUAGCUCUGCUCCAUUCAUCCAAGCACAAUAAUUCCCAGAGGUAGGUGGUGGAUUUUGAUUGAGCUCUCCUGCAUGCUGCGCAUGUGUUGGGCAUGGUCACAAAGGCCUAGAUUUCUCGAUGGCAUGACCAUUUGGGGCAGGGAAUUAAAUCUUUUCUCGUUUGCUAACCAGGAGGCAAUAACUGGGGUCAGUGUGGAGAGUUAUAUGUAUGCGGCACACAUAUGGACUGCUCCCUAUUUUCGUAUAUAUAUGGACGGGAAUCCAGCGGCCCUGAAAGCCAUGGUGCAUAUGUUUUAAUGGGCACAGCACCUGAGUGGCCUCAUGUCAAAGGCGGUCAUUGUGGGCACAACAUGGACCUUGUGCUUGUGUUGGGAUCAUCGCGCACAUGCACAUCCAUGAGUAUAACUGAAUAGCCCCAGGCCAUCUUUCACAUCAUCUUGUCACAUAUACAGAUGGGCAACUGCUACAAGGGGAAAGAUGCCCUCUCGGGGCAAAUGCUGCAUCCGGUGGAUGCCAGGGAUUAAUUAAUUAGUUCAUCUGCCCAGAUGCAUUUCGCAUAUGUCACUGCAAAACAAAUGCCCAACCAAAAGGGUGUUUUCAUUCAAGGAAACCAUUUUCUGAAGGUAUAUCUGUAGUAUAUUCCAACUUGCAUGAAAUUUCAAUAAAAAAUAACCUGUCGACAAUGGCAAUGAAAAAUCUUGCACAAACCAUAUUUCUUAAAUAUGUCAAUCAUAUAAAAAACUGAAUAUAAAUCAUGAAUCAUGAACAAUAGCAUGGAUCACUCACAUAGCAUAAUUGGAUCGAGACAAAAAUAUGAUGUGACAAAGUUUAAUCAAUUAAUUAGAAAGUAUAGAACCUGCUCUCUGUUCUAGCAAAUCUUAUUUUAAAGGUAAAUAAAAACAUUAAUGAAUAUAAUGAGUGAUAGCAUUUGGCCACAUGCUAUUCCUGAGAAUUAUAAUAUAAAAUAUAAAUACCCGGUUAUUUUAAGAAAUGGCAUUUCAAGGUGACCAAGAACAAUUUAUUAAUAAUUGUAUUAUUCUACCAUGUUUGAUCUUGUAUUUAGAGCUUAUAAAUGUGUUUAUAAUUUAUAAACUUUCCUAAACAUGUCCUAGUAUAUUCUAGUUUAUUUUAAUAAUUGAAGAGUAAUAUUGCUCACAGCAAAUUAUUUAUUGUUAUUAAUAUUAAUCUGAUGAAUCCGGGUUACAAUUGCGAAAGCCGUGUGACAUUGACCGCCCCCGGGCGCAAUCCUCCCUAGCAGCGCCAGCGAAGAACACGAUCGCUCGAACCAGUCCCUGGUCACCUCGGGAUCCGGCAGCGUGACGAACUUGUAGUAGAGAAGAACUCCCUACUCUGGGAGCGCCAUAGCUCCACAAAAGCCCUAGUUUUCAUGGCUACUUGUUAAUGGAAAAUUCCAAGAGUAUAGAAGAGUGGCAUUUGCUCAUAGAUAACGCACAGGCAUUCUCAUAGCUCUGUCGUUCCCACUGGGAGGUAGAGCUUGGUUCUGUCUUCACUGGGACAGUCCCAGUGAAGGACCCAGGAUCAGGGAUUUUGAUCGAGCAAGUAGUGGAUGUUUUUACAUCGAGUCGUAGUGUCUUACAGCAUUUGCCUCAGCUGGCAUUUCUAUGUUUUUGUCGAUGCUAGAAAGUUUCUUCCUCGGAAAGCCAAAAUAGUCUCGUAAGAAAUCUCAUCUGGGCUCAAAUUUGAUGUGGAAUAAGAAAGCGAAUGUUAUAUGAACUUAUAGAAGCGUAAGUAAGAAUGCUGGACUGGAUCUAGCAUUUGGCUUUAAUGGGCAUAAGUUUGGUUGCUAUGGACGAAAGUCCUUGUUAAGGCAAGGAAAGAAUCUAUCCAGAUGCAUUUGCUUUCAAUGGGCAUUUGUGUUUCUUUGCUCUUCUAUUUGUUGCUACACUUGGUGUUCUAAUACUGUAACUAGUUUUGCUCACAUGCCUGACUGACUUUGAUCUUUUUUUUUUCUUUUUCUUUGUCUUUUUCACUGAUUAGUUUUUUCUCUCCGGUUCUGCCAAUAAGCUGGUCUUUCUUUCAUUCUUUUGUUUCAAGCAGGCCUUUCUACUACAAGGCUCUUAAGUUCUCUGUUUUUCUUUAAAUGAAAUCCAGGUGGCAAUUCAAGGAUAUAUAGGGUAAGGUUUUCGGAGAGAACGAGGAAGCUCGACGUCCAAGCCUGGGAGGAUGGGAACUGGGUGCCAUUGGAGCUGCGUCUUAAGGAGGAGAUGGAGAGGGCCAAGGAGGCAAUGCCCUCCUUGGCAAGCACCAAAAACUCAAGGAGAAGAUGGUGGCAAAGGAGGACCGUUUCGAAAACAAGGGAUUGGGCGAGGUCAAUAAGGUGGGCAAACAAGCCCUAGAGGAGGGCCGCAACCAGGAGGGGGUACAACUCCUCCCCAGGUAUGACUUGCCUGACAGACGUUUGUGUGUCAAGGAGUGAUGAAUUGUGAAUGUAAACAAGUUUGCUUUGUUCUGUCUUGAGCAGUGUAAGCCUAUUGGUAUCCUUGACCGAUUCGAAUUUCCCCUUCAUUUAGAGUUGAUAUAAAUUCUCCCUUCAUGGUGUGGAAUACUAUCAGUUGCAAUAUAGAAAACUUGGAAUAAAACUAAAAACAGACCAGCAAGCCAAGAUAUGGAGAAGUCAUUUGAGGAACAGUUGAAGAGCUCAGAUAUGAACAUCUUGUACCUGAAUGUGCACAAUCUAAGAAACUCUAGUAUACAAACACAUCCCAUACCUCAAACAUGGCACACCUGUGAAAAACGUUUUGGAGCGCCUGCUCUCCCGAAGAUGAGAUCCCUCUAAAGAAGUACGUUGCGAAUAUCUGCAGCAUCCGAAGGAAGAUAAGCUUGAAGUUGGCUGAAAGCCUGCAGCAUCUGACGAUAAGCUUGGGGAAGAACCAUGUAAACCCAAAGAGGCCACCUCCGAGUCAAAAGAAACACUUCCCGCUAAGAGCCUAUGGUAGCAAAGAAAGGACAUACGAAGAACCUAUAGAGCAAAAUUGAUUAAUCACCGUGAAGAGAAAGAACUGGGAUACCAUUAGUUUUUGCAAGGGUGCCAAGAAGUAGUGUGUAACAGAUUGGUGGCGAAGGAGCUUCAUUCGAACACCACCUCUAAUUGCAACAAACAAAACAUGUUGUGCUUUUCAAAGGAGCUUGUUCAUGUAUGUUGUGAUAGCAGAGGGAUCUCCAAUGUAGAACAUAUCUUCAUAUGGUCCGUUUUGAGCAACAGAGAAAAAAAUUCGUUUAUCAUACGCUUCCUCCUGUGAUCAUCUUCAGACUGCUUCCUCUGCACAAGCACCAAAAUGACCAAAGCCAGGUAUUGGAAAAACAUCAUCAUCUAUCUAUCAAUCAAGCCUUAGAUUUACCCCGAAUGAUGCUCUGUUGGCGUGUGCCUGUGUGUAGGCAGAGGGAUCUAUGAGAGGGGCUGGGAGGGCACAGCGAUCUAGAGGGACUCUUGCAAGAAAUUUGAUAGAUCGGAGCUUGCAUUACCUAAGCCAGGGAUUAUCACCUGGAGUUCAACAUCAGAAUCGAUCGAUCAAAGCCUUGGAUUUACCUUGAGCGCUGCUCUGUCGCGGCGUGCCUGUAUGUAGACAGAGGGAUCCAUAAGCAGCGAUCUAGAGCAAUUCCUCUGAGAAUUGAGGCGAUCAUCUCCGUGCUGCCAAUGGAACCGCGCCUGGGAUCAUUGCCUAGAAUUUCGACAAAAUAUCACGAAUCUUUCCAUCAAGCCUUGGAUUGCGCUGCUCGGUUGGGCACCACAGCUGUGGAGCUGCCAUGGUUGCUUUGCGCUAGCCCUGAAAAUUUGAAUGAAGCGGGAAGAAUACUUAAUGAGCUGGACGGCAACGUGGCGGUGACGUGGUCAGCUUCUGGAGCGCGAAAAAGCCUUGCGUUAUACUUUCGGCCUCGGAGAAGCGCCUUGAUACUUUCCCUUUAGUAACACUAUUUAGUCGUGAUCAGAGAAGAGCUUUCUCAAGAAAUAGUACCUCUGCUUGAGAUUCCAGUCAAUCUCUCGCCUUCCGUGCUUUCCCUGAAAUGUGCAGCGAAUGGCAGUCGAUCAAUCCUCAUCCUGUUGCUAACAUCUUUUCCUCUAGCACAGGCGAAACCAUCGCUGUACCGGCGUAUCUUGGGGUCUUACAGCAUUUGCCUCAGCCUUGCAUUCCUAGGAAAGAAACAUCUAGAAAUAAAUCUCAGAAUUUAAGGUGGAAGUAAGCUAGCGAAACGCUAUAAGGAUUUACAGAAGCGCAAACAAGAAUGCUGGCCUGUAUAGCUCUCCUUGCAGAAUUUGCCUGUAAUGGGCAUAAGUUUGGAGGCUUUGUGUUUGUUUUCCUUGUCAAGGCACAUUUUCUUUCGAUGGGCAUUUAUGUUUCUUUGAUGGCUGCACUGCUCUUCUAUUUGUUGCUACAUUUGGUGUCGCAGGUUCUAAUGACUGUAACUGGUUUUGCUUAUUUAUUUAUUUUCUUGACUUCUAGAAGAAUCUCUAUCACUGAAUAAUGUUUUCUUUUUAUCAAGCCGCUGAUUUUUUCCCACGAAUGCAUGAUGCCUGACUGACUUCGGUCUUUCUUUCGUUCUUUGUUCCGAGCAGGCCUUUCUUCGACAAGGCUCUUGACCGAUGAAGCAGAGGAGCUGCAGCUGAUUCCAGGACGUCAUAAUUUCAGUGUAAGAACUCUUGCAGUUUUCUUGCGGCUCGAUCUUAGCCCUGAAUUGUAUGAUGCAGCAUUUGUAUUCGCUCAUCAUCAAAAGCCGUGAUCAGCACGUUUGGUGGUAUUUGCAGAAUGGUUUCGCGGACGAAUUGUUGGCACUGAAGAAGAAAGAAGGAAGAUAAUCUAAAUAGGUGUUUGCAAUCAUGUUAAUUCUUCCUGCAAAGUGGAAUUUGAGGGUGGACUUUGCUCUUCUCUGGCCUGUACACAGUCUCGCAUUGGGCUCAAUGUCUGUCCAAAAUACAUCAUAUUGACAAGAGUCUAUGUUCUCGAGAAGUGUGAGAAAUCAUCCUCUCCUCAAAGAUUUCUUCCAGGUAGAUAUGCAAUGUUCCUUUGCUGCCAGCGUCUGGAGCUUGCUCCUGCAAAGCUUGCAUUUGUUUGCAGAAAUCAUCACUGUCGACAUCCGAUGGAAUACGUUUUUGCCACUUCUCGAUCAUCAUCUCAAGCUCCUGCCUGUUGUCUUCCAGCUCUUGGAGCUCCUUCUCGUCGUUCAAGGCCGCUGCUUGUAACUCCUCCACCUUGGCCUGACACUGCAAAAAUUCUUUGUUCCUCGUGAAAGCUGAGGCUGCUGCUGGAACCAAUGAGCAUUGCUCGCGUUCUUCGUAAGGCACACUUGCAAAUCUUGGAACUUCGAAUGUUCUAAAAUAGAGGAAAAACUUUAAACUUGUGAGAAACGAAAACUUUGAUCUUACCUCCGUGAUCCAAUAAGAACUUGGCCUUUGUCACACCUUCCCCCGUCGAGAGAUACUGCUUGGCACGACAAGCUCAUCUCGUUCCACGCAUUUAGCAUGUUUUCCUCCGUGUUGUAGACUUGUAGCUUCCGGAAAACAUGGUAGAACAAGCUCUGGCGCAGCUCCAAGUGCUCGGGUCUCAAGUAGAGAAAGUUGACUCCAUAGCCCAAGAAACCAGCCGGGAUUUCGCCAUUGGAUAGAACAGGCGGUGGAAUGUUAAGGAGCUUCUGAGGAUGUUGAGCAUCUACCGCUGCAUUCCCAUCCUUACGCUUGUAUUGCCUGGUGAAGAACAAGAUCACAGCUAAGUUUUGCUCGAUGGGUGACAACUUACUUGAUUGCGUCGAUACGAAAUACUGGAAAGUUCUCUGGAAUCCAGAGCUUGUUGCUGCGAACAAACGCUGAAAAGGCCGUGGAGUUGUCCACGUUUGCAUCAGAGCUUCUCAGCCAUCGUAUGCUGAAACGAGCACAAACACACACACAAAACGUAAGAAAAACAAAACACGUGAAGGAGAAAAAAUAAUCUAGGAAGGAUUACCUGUUGAUUUCAUCCUUUUCAACCCGAGCAAGGAGAACAAUCGGCCCCAAAAUGUCAUCCAAAGGAAAGCCUAUCGGUUUCAUCUCUUGAGCCGUGUACAGCGCCAAUGCCGGAGAAUUCUCCUUGUGAACCAAAGUCUUGAGCUCGUUUAAGAUGUCGCCCUCCGUCCUUUGAGUUUCAUUUCCUUCGCAGAGCAAAACCUCAUCAUCGUUGGCAGCUCGUCGAUGCUCAUAAACACUCAACAAGCUUGCCUGAGCCCGCUUCAGCAAGUCUGAAGAAAAUAUUCACUUAAGGCGGACAAGCAAAAGAACUCUUCUACCUGUAUUACGACCCAAUGACUCUUGGGCCGCAUACAACUUAUUUGGAAGAUUUUUGAGAGCUUUAUGGCAUUCUUUCAGGCCACUGCCAAUACUUUUGAUCAUCUGAAAAAGAUAACGUAAGGGGCAAAUACACAGCUAUAAAAAAUGAUAUCACGUACCGUUUCGGAUUGUUCUACAAUGUACUGGUACAAGUGCUUCUCCACUUGUUCGCGAGAAUAGUUGCCUCGAAGAACAGCCAAACGAGAAGUAGCACUCUUGACGUCGUUAAACUCGCCUCCAAUAGCACAUACCUUGAACGUAAACAACUCUGGCAUGAUUUCGAGAUCACUGAAAGUAGCCUGCCCAUUUAUUGCGGUCAUGCAGCAGAUCGCAGGCUUGGCAGCGCGCUGCAGCGUGAGAGUGCCACGAAGUGAGAUCUCUCGACAACCGAAGCACCUGUUGUCAUGAAUAUCCACGACGUCCACCACCACCACGUCGGUAUUUUCCUGCUCCAUGUUAAACUUGAGCCUAUACGGCCUUCCAUGGACCACGUUAAGCUGCCACUUGAUCGGGGUCACUUCGUCGCUGCCUUCGAGCACAAACUUGAGGACGUAUGGUCCUGCUCUCGCCAGUACCACCAGGCCUUGGAAAAUAUAGACAGAUGCUUCGUCGUCUCUCUCUCCAGACUUGGUCGAGCAGUUCUUCCCGAGCGGAUCCCAGACCGAGAUGGUGAGCUGCUGCAAGGCCUGUAGGGGGCGACCGUCUUCACAUUCCACCAGAACCCGCAUUUCCGGCACGACUUGCUGCUCGUCAUCCCUGUCCGAGAGUGUGAGUUCACGAGGAGUCUCGCCGAGGAGCCGCAGCAGCGUUGGAUUGUUUCCAGGAGUGACUUCCAACGGGACCGAGACUUGCUUUGAAGAUGCUCUGAUCACCAAGUUGUAGACGCCCAGCGGCAUGUCCAGAAGCUUUGAAAUGCAGCAAAACCAUCCGUCGCGUAUGCCACUUUCUCAAGUCUUUCACAAGUGUCUGGAACGAUGAUCUCUAGAGAAACUUCUUUGGCUUUGUAGCCGCUGUUACAAACGUUGUCCUUGUGAUCCACCAGACAAACUUGUAGCUCCGGAAAAAAGCUACGCCUGCAAACCGAGAACCGGCGGCCCGCAUCAGCUGUCAUGAGAGCUUUGAGCAGCUCGUUACGCUUUCCACAGAAUGGGACCAAUCUGUGAACGUCUCCACAGCCAAGAUACACUCUCCAGUUCAAAGUUUGCAUAGCGUUCUUCAACGUGACGACGUAGAAGCCUUCUUUUCCGUCGAGGACAACCCUGAGGCUGUACUUCAUGUCUUCUGUACUUGAAAUUCUUCUGCUGAGCAGCACAUUCUCAUCGGUGAGGUAGUCUUCCUCGGGAAACACCUCCACUUCCAUCUGCAAAAGUGAAAAAUAAGUAUUUUUGCAUGGAUAAGUUCUUGGGUGAGAAAACAAGGAGCCAACAAAACGACCUGUUCGACGAUUUCAUUGCUCAGAAAUCCAGGAAGGUUGAGCUCGUCGCGGGCUUCAAACUUGAAAGCUAUUUCUUCCCCACAGCCUCCGGCAAUUACUUGUUCUUCAUAAACAGGUUUACAAGCAGCCGCCAGUUCAACUUGAAUCUGGAAAGAUCCAAAGGUGUUCAUAAUUAUGAAUGAAACAUGCUUGCCGUAGUACCUCGAAAGCUAAGCUCAUAAGUUGAUAGUCCGAGUGCCAUGCUCGUCCUUCCCACAAUCCAGGAGUCUUGGCAUAGUGAGUCCCCUUAGCUGACACUGUCCCUUGUUGAGGACAUAGCAAAUGUCUUUGUCCCAGCUCAUUGAGAUUGUGCCUCCUAUUGCUGUGUCGACGUUACCAUCUUCGUCCACAACAUGAAUGUUGAGUCCGGUAACUUCCCGUCCAAUGUAAGAUCUUUUUUGUUGCUGAAAUCAAAUACAGUUUCGCUUCUCGGAUGAAAAAUGGAUAGGCAUAUUGUGCUCACCUCAGAUGCAAAUUUCAAGGUUCGACUAGCGCCCUUGAAAACUAUUUCGAACAUUACGAUGUCGUCCUCCGAAGAAAGAACGAUGGAACCUGAAAACCCAUAAUGAAGCAGCAUUUUAGCUUUGCAUCAAAACAAGCACCUGUCAUGUUGUAUUCCUUUGCGACUCUGAGUUCGCUCAAGCGAACAAUGCCGGCUCCAUCAGUUUCGACUUCUUGCUGUGAGAGGUGUACGCCAGAUAGCAUCCGAGUUCCCUGCCUAACGGAGUUUCCCCAUUCGUCGAAUCCCUGCAGCUUUAGAAUCUACAUUAAUAUGGUGCAAUGACAAGAACAGUGCCUACCUUGAACACCAUGCACGGGAAGUAACAGUCUGGAUCCAGUGGUUGCUUGACGCAAAACAUCGAUCCAGAAGGAGGGAGCUCGAGAGAGCUAUUCACAAGCUCCAGUCGUGCAAGCUUGCCAGGAUAAACUGCGGAAGAAAAACAAAUCAUCAUUGAGGUAGAAACAACCGAAGCUAUCAAGAUGACAGCUGAUAACCUUGACAUCUCCAGUGUCCAAGCUUCUGGUUUCCAACGUAGAAGCAUAGACGAGCGUCGUGAGCCGGCAGUAUGCAGCCCCGAACUAUGAAGUUCUGUGGAGCAGACAUUAUAAGCAAAUCCAAAAAGAGGUUUGAGACUUACUCCGACAUUCAUUUUGUCCUUUUGGGGAAAGCUCAUGCUCUCACGUCCAAGCGAAACUGUACUAAGCCUCGUGCUCUCCAAUGCCUCGAGAACCAUGCACACAUUCGAACAAGGCUGUGAGAAUGGCACCAGAUUGUCGUAGGUGUCAAAUCCCUGAACAGUAAAGUUCUGCGUUACUAGCUCCUCCAAGCUGUAGAAUUUAGAACAUAGAUAGUAGUUAAUAGCAAUAAAAGAUAAGCUUACGUACGUAAUCCCGGUGCAUGCCUCGGUAUCAAUAUGCCAUCUGGAAACGGACCCCAAGGAUUUGAUAUUCACCUCCCAAACUGCUGGCUUAAGGUCCGGAUGCCCAUCAAUCGAGAACUCCACCUUGUACUUCCCAGCCUUGCAAAGAUCUGGAAAGAUUGUGCCCGAAGCGAAUGCAUAGAUCCCCUUGAUAUCGUUUAUGGCUUCAACCUCCGCGUAGUAGCACCAUUGCAUCUUCGUCUCCUCACGAUCUUUCGACGAGAAAUGCACUUCGGCCUUCAUCCGGGGGGGGGGGGGGGGUCUGCAACAGUCACCGAUUGCUUGCAACUCGUUCCAGCGCCUUGCUGCGUACGCACCACGACCAGAAACGAGUCGAUUUGGAGCACGUAUCCCGCUUCGAACGUGAGGUUACUCCGAUGCAGAUGUUUCCCCCCAAACACUAGCCUGUCGUCGUUGUUGAGAAGCUCUAUGAAUGCCGGCAGCUUUCCCUUCAGCCGAUUCUCCUGUGUAUGCCACUCACUUGGAGUCAUGCAGUGGCACUUCUCCGAAUUCAGAACGCUACAAGGGAACCACCUGCACCUGUUGAGCUUGAAGCUGCAAAUCUGUGCCGUCUCAAUCUUGCUCUCUUCUUCCAUAGUCAGCAGUUCCACGGGCCUGCAAACCAUCUUCACUUCCCCGUAUUGUUCGUCGAGUCCAUCGCAGAAGACCCACUCGAUGACACCGUAGAAAUUGAAAGUUAGUCCUAUCAUUGAAAUGGUUCUAGUGGUGUUAUUGGAUGAAGCUCUUGAGUUUGUUUCUUUGGUGUGUACUUGGUUCAUUGACAAAUGUUGCAUUCUUGACAAAAGUUUGCUGAGUCGUGCCAAAGUGUUGAUCACCAAAGUUUUGGUGUAAAACAGAUGUAGAGUAGGAUUUACUUUCUUUUGAUGAGGUUUGUUAAGCUCAAAAGAUUAAACUAUGUAUUCGAAGGCUUCACGAUGGGUUUAAGAAUUUUAUAUCAUUUGUUGAUGACUUGCUUUUUUGGCAUUUACAUUUUUAAUAUCACCUUGAGGACAGUCUUCUUUAUUUUCUGAGAAUAGAUCUUGAUGAUCAUUUAUAAUUGGUGGUGCCUUCAAUCUUUAUUCCAUACUUUCUUUAUACUUACAAUAAUUCUCCUAUUCUAGGUGGGUAUAUGGGACAUUGUUGUGUGACCUUGAAGUUGCAUAGAUUUUUUUAUUAGUCAGAGAUGCAACGUGGGGUUAUCUGGUAUGUGUGUAGCUGCAUUUGGUGCCAAGCUCAUAAUACUUCUCUUUGUACUACAGAAGGACAAUUUGAGUCAAUUAUAGUUUCUUGUUUGUUUGAGUUGGUGGCAUUUGAUUUGAUGGGACCUUUUCCAUGAUUGACUGCUAGCAAUGAGUAUAUCAUUAUUGUUUAUGACUACUUAACUCACUAAGUGGAAGUCGGUGCUUUUGCUAGUGUGUCAGCAAUUAUUGUUGAAUACUUCUUCCUCAAUUGAGUGGUGUUUUAACAUUUAUGUCUGUAGUAGAUUCUUUUGGAUAAUGAUCCCACAUUUAUGAUUAAGGCAUUUCACAUUUUGACGUAUCAGUUGGGGAUGUGCUACACUUUCAUGAGUGCUUAUCAUUCACAUUCAAACUAUUUAGUGGAAUAGCUCUUUCGGACAUUCAAAUGGAUGAUUGUGAAAUACGUGAACUUUCAGCAUUUGGAUUGGGAAGGUUAUUUGUUGUCUCUUUGGUAUACAUAUAUCACAGAAGUGUAGAGUUCUAUUAGUGCUUCACUAUAUAAACUUCUAUAUAGUCAUGAUCCAAUACUGCCAAAGGGGUUAGGUUUAUCUUUGUGAUUGCUGCAGACUGCUGAUGCUAAAUCAUGAGAUCAGUAUUUGAUGAGCAUUCUUCCAUUUGUCCGAGUAGAGUUUGUUGAACAUCUGGGUUGCAUAUAAAUGGGACAAUAACAACACUAUAACUCCCAUUAUUAUUCAUCUGCAAAGUACAAAGUGGAUGAUUUAGUGUAAGCCUAUUUUCCCCAUCUUAUAGUAGAUGCUCCUUGCUCAGUGGAAAAGUCCAUAUCAAGUGUUCUGGCAAAUUUGACUGCAAGUUUAUGAGGUUCAGUAUAACAUCCAGUAGGCCAAUCCUCUAGAAAUUGUGCAUAUACACUUUGUACAAAGGGAUUAAGAACAAUUGGCACCACCUACAAAUUCAUCGAUGCCUCUUCUUGAUGUUUUUCUAGAUCCCAACCCAUCUAUGAAAGAACUCUGACAAUCUUCUAAGGGAUCUGAGGUUAUGAUAUUGUAUACUAAUAUUAGCAUAAUGGAAUUUUGGUAGGUAUUGGAUUGGUUUUAAUCCAAAUUACUCACUCCUGUAUAUAAGCUAGGGGGAUAAUUGAUAUGCACAUUUCCUGUAUUCUUAUUCCAUGCAUUCACAAUAUUAUAAUUUUAUUUUAAUAAUAUUUAAAAAUAUAAUAAGAAAAUAUGAUUGCUGAGAGUGGCUGCAGGGGCAUUCCAGCUCUUUGGGCUGGUGGUUCUACAAUAUGGAUGAGUUGAGUGUGUCAAGUGGAAGAUCUGGACUCUGGGUUCCAGUCCUGGAGGUUUUCUUGCACCUCUUCAUCACUGCUGACUAUUUCACGCGGCAGUGAGGUUGCUCCAACCAGCAAAGUUACAGUGGCCCAACAGUAUUGUCUUUUGUGCUCCUUUGCUACUACAUUACACACAAGCUUGAAGUGGUGAGUUAUCAAGAUUUCUUGUGGCAAAGCGGUAAAAGAGCAUUUAUUUCUUGGUUGCAGCUCAUUCGGAUGCCAGCCACUGAAGUGAUGUAUUUGGCAGAAGGAAUUACAUGUAUGGCUUGUCUCUUUUCCUUUUCAUUCCUAACCAGCCGUCUGUGCAGAUCUUGUGUCACUCAUGUCUAGAGUUCCCUGUACUUUCUCAGCGUGAACUUGUCUUCUGGAUGCCCUUCUCCUGUUUGAUGUGAGCAAGCAACUCUGCGUGCUCUUCUUCGCGUGGCUGCACCUCCAGGUCCAAGCAAACAAGCAGCCGCACGAAUGGCUUGACGCUUUCAUACCUCAAGCCAAAGCUGGCAGCAGGGGGUACCUGGGCAAACUCUUGCUCUGCUUCCUAGACACCGUGCAUGCAUACAGGUUUCAGGAAUUCUUUCUGCCAACCAGGGAGAACAUCGACAACGUCUAUAACGUUUGGUUCAAGGAACUCCUGGUGGUAGAUGGCAAUGGAUCGAUCUCACCCCCGGCAUCUGCCAGGUGGUGGAGGUAAAAUCCUUAGCUCAGAGACAGGCUUCUUAUUUGUUUUUUUUUUUUUUUUGUUUUUUGGCAGGAGGUGGUGGCAGCAGUGACUCACACAUUCGAGUGGGACCAAAGCCUUGUUGUACCUCUGGAGUGCUGGGUUCGAAGGAGCUCGCUCGUUUACCAGUACAGGCCUCGCGAGGUUUCAUACUAUAUGGACUUUAAGGAUGCAAGCUUGCAAAUUGGCCGUCUGAUCUACACUUGGACACUGACGAAAAAGGGGCAGCGCGACCAAGCUCCAGACGCUGUGCUCGACGGGCAAGUCGAUCGUGGAGAACGCACAGUCGGUGACAGCGGGAAGCAGCGACGAGCGCCAGCUCUACCGUGCCGCCCCUGCCGUUUUCGGCAAGGAUUUUAGCGGCCAUUUCGUGCAGCUGUGCAGGAACGCGCAGUGGGAGCCGGAUGGGGUCCCUUGCUUGCAAUCCGAGCUGGGAGAAAUAAGGGGCUGGCAUGGAGAGGGCUGAUUUUAGUCUUCAACUUCCAGCAGCAUUACUUUGACGACGGCCAUAAACAAAUGGACGUUCGGUGGCAUGGUCGUCUACAUUGUUCACGUAUGCACACUCUUUUCGUUGGAAUGUGUUUCUGAUUGUUUCCUUUUAUCUUGUGUGUUGUUUUGCGCAGCUGAUAUUUGAGGAUCACUUGGCCCUAGACAUUGAUCGCAAAGCGUCACAAGAAUGUGAGUGACAUGAAUUAUCUAUCUUUACUUGGUGGAAGUAUUUACUAAAGCUGUUUCUGUAGGCACGGUGGCUCUAAAUAGUCACCCAAACCUUGAUACAAUCUGGAGCAAGAGAGGCAUUUUUAUUGCAUCAGAUGCGACUAAGAAGAGGUGUCUAACUCUUGAGAAGUUGAUAAACUCUCCCAAAAUACAGGGGGCUCUGGGAGCUGGCGCUGAUGAAAUAGGCAAUGCUAUGGUCAAGGCGAUUGUAGUUGGUGGUAUCGGGAACACAAAGAGUUAUGGUUUAAAAUGGCGAAAAGGCUCAUAGCAUAUGCAAUUUCCAAAGGAAUAAUUUAAGAAUAUAUUCUUCUUGGGUGCAUGGAUCUGAAUGCACUUACUAGACAACUAUUGGACUUGAGUUGCAACGAGAGUGCCACCACCUGGCUUCCAAAAUCACCUGGUCCAGUCAUUGGGCAGCAUGCCAAGAGAGGCCUUUAAAAUACAGCCAAGGGUUAGGGUUUUAGCAGGGACAACCCAAUGCUGGAGAUAUGGCGCGAUCUAUGCCGGGAAUGCUUUUCUUUGCUUCCUGGAUCAGGGCGUGGAAGCGAAUGUGAUUGAGAGUAAAAUGGGCGACGUCAUCCGGGCAUAGCAGAAAAAGAAAAGUCCGAACUUAUGGAUGUCGCCAGCAUUCCUAUUUAAGUUCAUAUAACGUUCGCUAGCUUACUUUCACAUUGAAUUUGAGCCCAGAUGAUGAGAUUUCUUAGGAGAUUUUCUUGGCUUUCCGAGGAAGAAACUUUCUAGCAUCGACAAAAACAGAGAAAUGCCAGCUGAGGCAAAUGCCGUAAAACACUACGACUCGAUGUAAAAACAUCCACUACUCGCUCGAUCAAAAUCCCUGAUCCUGGGUCCUUGACUGUCCCAGUGAAGACAGAACCAAGCUCUACCUCCCAGUGGGAACGACAGAGCUACGAGAAUGCCUGUGCGUUUAUCUAUGAGCAAAUGCCACUCUUCUAUACUCUUUGAAUUUUCCAUUAACAAGUAGCCAUGAAAACUAGGGCUUUUGUGGCGCUCCCAGAGCAGGGAGUUCUUCUCUACUACAAGUUCGUCACGCUGCCGGAUCCCGAAGCGACCAGGGACUGGUUCGAGCGAUCGUGUUCUUCGCUGGCGCUGCUGGGGAGGAUACGGAUUGCGCCCGGGGCGUCAAUGUCACGGUAUGUGAGUGGCAUUCUCUGGAAAUUCUUUGUGUUCUCACGGAUUCUUGCUAGGUCGGAGGCAGCAUGGAAUCGCUGAGGGAGCACAUCGAUGCUGUUGCGAGGCAGGAGCUGUUCCAGGGAUGCGAUUUCAAGCUCGCUGCGUGCUCCCGGCCUAUGGAUCGCGAUGCCGCUGCGAGCUGUGGUUUUGAUUCCUUGUCCGUUCGUCUGGUUGAGGUAAUUCUUUUCUCGCAAGUUCUUGCUCGAGCAAAGCUUUUUUCGUUUUUUCGGCUUUUUAGGAAAUCGCGUGACGCUUGGUGUAUUCCCUUCUCCAUCGCUUGCAAAUGCUGGGAAGCAUCUAUCGCCAGAGCAGUUCCAUGGAAUGCUCGACCAAGCAGGUUUUGGUUGUUUUCUUUCCAACUUACAAGAUUUUCAUUCGUGCAGGGAGCUUGAAACAAAGCAACGCUGCCCCCCAAGAUACGCCAGUACAGUGACUUGCCUGCUUGGAUAGACGAGCGCGCGGAGCAAUUGCGCAACAAAUCAGUACUGAUGUAUUUCUUUCUAAGUCGUUUCUUUCAUUCAUUGUGUUAUAUGCUUUUGCAUUUGUUGCAGGUAUUUCACUGGAGGUGUCCGGUGCGAGAUGGCUUCUGCUUACAUUCGUAGCAAAGGAGAGGAAUUCGAGAACGUCUACCAGGUUGUUUGGUUUUCUCCUGUUUGUACGGUGGAUUCUAACCUCGUGCUACGCAGCUUUCUGGUGGCAUUCAGCGGUAUCUGGAGGCAUUUCCUGAAGGAGGAUACUUCCAUGGGAAGAACUUUGUUUUCGAUCAUAGGUAGUGCAUGCAUCACUCUUACUCGGAAGCUGAUAAGCUUUGGCUGGCAGGAUAUCAGUUCCAUCGCUACAAGAUAAAACUGUUGGCUGCUGCUAUAGUUGCAAAUCUCCCUACGAUGACUAUACUCCACGGCUCCGUUGCUCCAUGUGUCGUAUGCUGGUACUUCUAUGCGAAAGUUGCAAGGUAAUUCGUAUAUGAUCUUUGUCUUCUCUUUACCUUGCAUUGUGCUUUCAGGCGUCAGUGCCUUAUCUCUGCGAGCUGUGCGCUGCUAAUCAGCAUUCUAGUGAACCAGUAGAAUCAGGACGUGAUAAAUGUGAGUGCUUGUCAAAUUUUGAUAGCAGACAUAUGACCCACCGUGAACAGGCUCGAAGUUAAGGAUACUGUGCUUGCACGGCUUUCGUCAAAACGCAUCAAACUUGAAGGGCAGGCUCGCAUCGCUGUCGAAGAAACUCAGACGUACAGCCGAGUUCGUCUUCAUAGAUGCUCCUCACGAGCUUCCGCUGCUCUAUCAACUUCUCGAGGACGAAACGAGGCAAGAACCUACAGCCCAGCCGCACAAGAAAUUCGCGUGGUUAACCGAUCCGGAUGGUCCGAAGGCUAGCACACAAACGUGGACUCCAGUACAGAAGUCUUUCAAUCCCAUGCAGUACCAAAAGCAAACGUCGGGUUGGAGCGAGAGCUGGGAGUACCUGGGACAAGUAUUGGCUGAUCGCGGGCCAUUCGAUGGCGUUCUCGGGUUCUGGCAGGGAGCGGCCGUGGCUGCCAUACUUUCUUCACUCAAGGAUGCUGGACUGAUCGACAUCAAGUUCGUCGUGCUGUGCUCGGGGUUCGUUUCGCCGGUGCUAGAGCAACAGGUGUUGGGAGGAUUGAUCGACUGCCCUUCGCUGCACAUUUUCAGUGGGAAAACUGGCUAUGACCGGCAAAUCUCUUGCACGGAAAGCGAGAGAUUGGCUGGGAAGUUCAGGCCUGACUCUCGAAUGGUAGUUCGUCAUGACUCGGGGCAUAUAGUUCCCACUCGACCGGACUACCUCGAACAGUACUCCGAGUUUUUCAAGCAGUUUCUAUGACUUGUCUUUAAAGUUCGGACGAGGAUUGUGACGAACGCCUGCCCGCGCCCCGCAAGUUGGUCGAGCUAGAGAUUUUUGGAGCGAUCGUAUGGAUUGCGUACGGCCAGCCCUGUCUCUCCAAUCGUGCCUGAAGCAGGCGAAGAUGAUCGCACAGAUGAUGCUAACAAAUCUACAUCGAUCCAUAAAUUUCAGUGUGUCUUAUAGUUGGCAUCUUAAUGUUUGACACAGUAAAUACUGGUAAAUAUGAAUUAAUAAUUGCUUAAAAGAUUUUAAAAUUUGUGAGGUCCAAGCACGAAAAGGCCUUGGAAUUGGAACUGAGUCCCUCUAGCACUAGCUUUGUAUUAAUCCAUUUUAUGGCAAAAUAUGCCUCUCCACAAGACUAUUCAAUCCAAUGUCUGAGAUUUAAGACUAAAUUGUUUGAGGGUUUGAGCCAUAAAAAAGGAAAUGCUCCAUAAAUUUGAAGUCACUGUGGUCGACCGUUCCCCGCCAAAAGUAUGCACGUCCAUGUCUGCAUGCUUGUGAAGCAAACCUACGAGAACAAUUUCGGCAUCGAAGUUGAGACCGAGUACUAUGUGGAUCGACUGUCUAUAAAGGAUCAGAUUGUGAGGGACAACAGCAACGAUAAUGACCCUUUGACGACGCACCAGACGAGAACACUGUGUCAUACACUGGCAACAAUGGCGGCGGUGUCAGCUCUUUCUACCACACCGCUGCUCUGGUGGUGUGGCCCAAGGAUUGCAGAAUGGAGGCGCUAUGCUACAACAGUGAAAGUGUACUGAAGUGGCUCGAGGAGCAGCACAAAUGCGAGCCUGGCCGGACGAAUGGGGAUUUGGAGCGAUACUUGACAAGUAAAGUGGGGUACAAGACGCAUUUUGAAAUUCUGCCAGAUUUUUGCGUCAAGCACGACUGUCACGACGCAGCCUGCUUGGUCAUGAAGAAGUGGGGGAUGACGCAUGGCAACAGCAGCACAGGGUAUGGUUUCCGUACACUUGGUUCCUUUCCCGCUAGCAGCUUGGUCCAAGUAGCUAAAAAGUGGGGAGAGAGCAGCUUUCCUCACAUGGAAGAGUUUUGGGAGAAGACAUUGAAUUGAAGAAGCUUUGUGGGAGAGACAAGCAGAGAAGCCCUACCCCGACAAAAGAUAUGGGCCCUAUGGAAAAUAUUAUUAAGUCAACUUUGCACAGCGAAAGGAAGGAAAAGCUGGCUAAGCUCCAGCACGAAGGAAGGAGAAGUUUUCUGGGAAGGGUGUUGUGACGCUCGAAUCGGAUGUCACUGCAAUGGCUUUGGGAAGGAAGAGAUUCAUCAACGAUGUUGACCUGAAGAAAUCUAUGGCAGUGAGAUUAACAGUGCUGAUGCGCUUGUGCUGCUCUUGUGAGGAAACUGGAAGAUUAAUUGGGGGCUCUUGGUUAAAAUGAAAGAAGCAGCCGGGCUGUUUGGCUUGAAGAAGGAUGAAAAGGUGACGCAGCUCUUCUCGGAACUUUUGUCACGAGCACUGAAAUAUAGUAGUCACAACAAGAAACUGGCUGAAGUUGCAAUUUGGCUGGGCAAUGAGGAAAUGGUGAAAGUUGUAGUAAAGUAUGCGAGAAGUGGUAAUUUUAACGAUGAAAAAGACGAUAGCAGCUUGAUUGAGAGUGCCAAGACAUGGGACGAUGUUGCUAGAGACGGGUUGAAGAAGGUGAUCAAUGCUAAAAUUUGCUACUUUUUGGGCAAUGGAGAUGAAGAGGUGAGUUGCAGCGACAGGAGCGAUGAUGAAGUAGAUGAAGAAGACGAGGAGAAAGAAGAAGGAAACAAACGAUGCAAACUAAACCCGAGGGCUGAGCGUGUCGAAUAUGAGCAGAAAAGGAUAGAAAACUAGGGUGCCACGAUCUGGAGACUGCGUAAGCUCUUGAACAAUUUUGCUUGAUCCUUCAAACAGCAUAUAAUAUUGCAGCACUUGCAAUAAGAUUCUCAAAGGCUGAAGUGUCGUUAAGUAAAACUCCAUUGAGGAAUUGCGCAACGACACAUCUGCGCAUCGGAUCUCGGCCUCCGGCCAAGUGAAGAAGAGUUUUGCUUGCAGAAAGAAGCCAUCUGCUGUUCAAACGCACUGAGCUCGUCAUCCCAUCUCGGUAGGCACAAUAUCAAAAGCCGGAGCACAACUCUCUAGUGUCGUUUGUAAAUAGGACUCGGUUGCCGUCACUUUCGAUUUCUGGAAGUGCUUGCAUUAUAUAGAGAAAUCCCACGAGAUCCAUACUGUGAAUCUGUGAAGCUUACAUAAUGUAUUGGCAAGUAAAAUUGCAAGUGAUCAUAAGCACACUAUAUGACGAAACCGUGCUAGCGAUCAACGUAAGCAUCUGGACUGUAGAUGCAGCCUGGAAGGGACUGUUUCAGAAUCUAAGCAUCUGGCUAGAUUGUUGAAGUUUUGGAUUAUGUUAUCGACUUGGAAACUUGUAGGGAGCCAGCCUGUGUCUAAGGCUGGAUUUGUUGCUCCUCUUGGUCCUGCUCAACUGCCAUGGGCUCCUGUUCUGAUAAGAAAACUGCAUUACUAACCUCGUGUUGGUAUGUUUCAGAUGAUCUAGUUGCAUGCUUGACAUACUUCAACAACGCCUUGGCGCCUUAGUUGCACCUUUUCUUUUGAGAGCAUGCAAAGAACAUCUUCAAGCUGUCAUGACUAUAGUUGAUUAUGGAUUCUCGAGAGUUGAUUCUUUCUGUUCUUUCAAUACUGUGAGAAUCAGAUAAACACAUAACCAUUAUAGUUGACUCUGGAUUCUUGAGAGUUGAUUCUUUUUGUUCUUUUAAAACUGUGAGAAUUGCGAUUGACUUUGUUGUUGUAAAAAGAAAAUCCGUAUAAAUAAAAUGACUUUUAUGUAUAAAACAUAGCAUUAUUUAACUGCAAUGCAACAAAAAGGAAGUGGAAAGCUAUCUCGCUUCUUUGCUUGCAGCCAGCUCAGCAAGUCUUUUGAAAAAAAACUAACUUUGCGAAGAAGUGAUGGUGAUUUCGAUUUUUCUGGACACGAAUACCUUCGGAUUUCGAAUUCAGUGUUAAAAAAACACAGGCAUAGAAUAUUUUACAAAUAUCCAAUUCUUAUGCCCCACAUGGGGCAUCAUGCCCAUAGCAAUGACCCAUGCUAUGUAUGGAAUGGAGCCAUUCAUGGCCAAUAAGCCCAUGCAUUCUAGCAAGUUGUUAAUGUUGCAAACCAAAUGGACAAUCAACCAAAUUCCAUACCAUAUUACCUUAUCUAGGGCAUUAUGUUUUCACAUCUUGCUUUUGGCAUUCAUGGCAAAAGAAUUGAAUUAUCCUUUUUUGGCACACCUCUUUUAACAUAGUGUUCAUAAUAAAUGUAAGUGAACUUUAUUUAGCUCCAUUGCAAAGCCAUGGAUAUAUAUUGUCUGGAGUAAUGUCUCUAAUACAUUUUAUUGAGUUUAUCCUUCGUUACCAUUGAUUUCCAGUAUAGUUCUCUCAACAUAUUAGUUUUGUACCAUGAUGCUUAGAAGAUUUGCAUAUGACUCAAAAGUAGGUUGAAGUCUAACCAAUUCGAUGAAUUGGUGGGGCUCAUACUUCAAUUGUGUACUACGCAAAGGUGCAUAGUGUUGAUGUUUAGACUUGGAAUUCUCUCAAGAAGAGCAUGUAGAAGGAGAUUUGAGAAUGUGGAAGUUGCAAUUGCAUGCAAUAACAUUCAGGAUAACAAUAGACACUUUCAACAUUUUCCAAUUAUAAUUGUUUCAAAUUGAAUCUGGAGUUCUCUCAAGAGGAGCUUGCUGAAGGAGAUUUGAGAAUAUAGAAGUUGCAAUUGCAUGCAGUAACAUUCAGGUGAGAAGAGCAAUAACAAUAGACACUUUCAACAUUUUCCAAUCAUAACUAUUUCAAAUUUUAAAAUUUGUAAAAAGGGUUUCCAAGUAUGGGGCAAAAUUAUCCAAUGUAUACUGUAUGCUGUGGCUGAAGAACUAGAGUUUUCAGGGAUUGGAAGCUCAUGCUCACUUUGGUAAGAGUAGAUUUGUGAUGGUUUCCUAUAUGCUCUAACCCUUUUGCAAUGUUUGAGGUUUUUGGGUUUCCUCAUGGCAUGGCAAAUUGGAGAGGAUUUUAUGACUUCUUUGAGGCACAACAAUGGAUCCAACAAGGGACAAAAUUGAGGAUUCUAUAUGAUGUUUCCUCCUUUCAAGGCUCAACAAUCCCUCUGACAAGGCAACCCAAAACUACUUCUAAUGUUGUGUUAAUCACCGAGGGGAAAAGUCCCGCUAAAGAAAGUGAUAGUAAGGGAUAUAUUACUGCUCAAGAUGCAAGCGAGGACAAGUUCACAGACCUAGAGGGUGAUUUUAGUUCUACUAUGAAACAGGUUGAGAGUUCCUCAACCGAGGAUGGGCAUCAUAUAGCACCCAAGCUCGAUAGUUUUGACCCAGAUCUUAAAUUGGGAGCUGCUUUGGAAGCUAUAAUGAUUACCCUUGGUGAGGCAAGCAUAAGCCAAAAGGUACCAAGGGCCGCAAGUGCUUAUAAUGGGCAUUCGUGGAAUAUUUUGAAUAUUCUUACUUUUAACUUCACCAAUGAACUAAAAAGAGUCUCUUUCAAAGUGUGAAACAUAUUUCAAGACAAUUAUCUAUUUUUAUUGUGAAAGUGUCUAGAUUGUGGUACUUCCAUAACAUCAGCCCAAUCCAUACAAGCUCUCUAGAUUUUGGAGUGCUUGGUGGAUCUUGUGUUUGGUCCACUCUAUUGAUAGGUAUGUUAAAGGGAAGAAAACUUCUCGUGUGCUUGGGAAAUUGAGUAGAUGAUGUAUCUUAUCUCUCAACUUGGAUCCAAAUAGGCUCUCUUGGUUGGAACUCUGGAGAAUCAACCACAAAGUGAUGGAACUUGGAUAACUCUUUCGGGCUCAUAUCUAUAAAAUGUUCAAAUAUACAAGAGUUUUAGUUGUUUGUGAAAGUAAAUAGUUACCUCGAAUGAUGUUCACAAUCCAGCUGUAGAAUUUCUCUCCAAAAUCCUGGUCAAAGAUCAAGCAGUUGAUGAACUCUGCAGAAGGAAUGGUCGUCCUUACCCAGAAGACCUAUAACAAAGCAUCUGUCCUAAUGAGUGAAAGCCUACCUAGCAAUGCUAGACUCUUGUAAGGCUUUUGAUGAGCUUCCAUGCGCAUUGCGUGUUGGAAGCCAUCUUGGAGUAAGUCUCCCACUAUAUUUGGCUUGAUGAAUAGGUAACGCCAGACCAUUGCAACCACACAUGCCUUCACAGCUUGCUCAUAACCUUCACCAAGUUCAGUGAGUCUAGACUCAAGCACUGCAUUGUAAUUGGUAAUUGCAGGGUUCUCUAGAAUGGAAUCCACAGACUUGCACCAAUUGCCCUCCUCCUUUAAGCUUGAUGCACCUUGCAAAUGGUUGAGUGCAUUCCAAAUAUGUAGUGCGCAUGCCUUGAAGUCCAUCUCAUAUAGUCCUCUUCAGGCAAGUCGUCGGUCAUUCUCAUCUGGAACCUCUCCAGUUGCAAUUGCCAAUGUUGCAAUUGUACACCCGCGAAAUACUUGUGUGUUACAUUCGAACGCUUGGAAUAACAACCAACCCAUAAAGACAGCAUGUGCAUAUAGAAAUAAGGAGCAUAUAAAACUUGUGCUAUAAAAUUAACUUACCACAUCCUACUCUUCUUGUCGCAACGUCCUAGAAUGCACUGGCAUCUUGGGAUGCCAAUACAUAGCUCUUCCCUAAGCACAAAUAGUCCAUGCGUUUGUAACAUAAAGUUACUCUAGUGAGCCAAAUGAAAAUUAGAUUUACCGAUUUUGGAAUCUAGUGAAUAGCCUCUCUAAUGGCUUUUGCAUGUGGCCCACCCACAUCUAUUGUGGCUUCCUCUCAUACCAAAGCUCCUCCAAUCUCAGACGCAUAGACCACUUUGUAAUUCAGUGUGUGUAGAUUAGUAUUGAAGGUGAAUUGGAAACAACUGAAUUCAUUGUUUGGUGCAAUCUGGAAGGAUAAGUGAGGGAACUCCAAUUCAUAGGCAAUCCAUUACUUACCAGAAUGGAGACGGCCUCAAAUAUGUAUGAGUAAGUCUGCAUGGCCGAAGCAUGGCCUUCUUGAUGCAAAAACAGGAGAACUUACAAUACAGUGUUUCAGUAGUGUCAAAUAGUUCUCUCAAUUGUUGUGCAACUGAAAAUAAUAAGAUGGUACUAAGUGCUAAGAAAUAGAUACACAUACCUCUUCUCAAUAAACCAUGUUAUUGUGGACCCAACAAUUGAAGGAGGCACAUUAAUGUUUCUUUCAACAAGGAGUUGUUGGAUUGUGUUGUUAUAGAACACACCCUUGUACUGUGCUUCUAAAAGGCCAAGCUGAAGGAGAACACUCUCCCAAUCCUACCAAUGAGGCAUAGUUUGGUUGAAAAGCACGUGCUAAAGAAAUAUUUCACCACCAACCCAAUAGAACUCAGGGUAUUUAGCAACAACAUCUAGCAUCUCCUUGUCACUUGUGUUCUCCACGCUAAAGCAACCAAGAAGCUUAUGUUUCAGCCACUGCACAUGUGAGAGAACUUUAGCAUCCCCUGUGCCCUCACCUCAAGGGCUAUGGUGGCAUCCUGUAAGGCAGAAACUUCCUCAUGUUGCAACACGAUGAAGUUGGCACUAUCCUAAGUGGUUAAUUGAACAGCUUCAUUAAAUGCAUUGGUGGCAUUAGUCCAUUGUUGUUGAUGCUCCAACAAUCUACAUGCAAACGUUAGUUAAAUUUCGAAUGCCACAAUUUUCAAUUAUCUUACUCUACUGUAGAAAAGUUGUCAAGCAACUCCAUAAGAGUAAGCGGACUGGAGCUACUUCCCUCUAGAAAGGGGGGUGGAGGCACACCAUGGUUUUCAAGGCCUGCGCUGUCACUAUCAUACACUAUUAUUGGCCUAUCUGCACUCAGAAAUUAGAAAAUGAAGGAAAUAUUUAUUUAUGUUAAUACUUUUUACCAGCCACAUGGCUUGGAGCCACUAUUUCUGGUGACAAGGAUGUCUCCAGAGAUCCUUGGUGCGGUUCAUCCUCACCAUCACCUUGUUCUUUGACUUCAGUAAUGUUCAUGUUGUCUUGUGUGGGGAGAGUUUCUUCCGGUAAUGGAAGAAUGUCCUCUUCAUCUGCAGAGUAUUCUUCUUCAUUAUUCUUAUCUUGGUUUAGUUUUUGCGUGGUUGGCCUCGAGAGAAAUGGCUCUAUCACUAAGAGAUCAUCAUUUGCAAUCAAGGUAUUUAUAGCAGCUACAACUGCAAAGACCACAAUAUAUAUUUGUGAGGAGGGAACUUAAAAAAAAUAAUGACUUAAAUUUAUGAACAUCCUUCUCCUUGAGUGCUCGGGCUUGUUUUUGAUAACUUAGCCAAUGUUUGUCACUAAAAUACUCCAUAACAUUGUAUAGGUAUAUUAUUGUUGCCUAGUUGCCAUUGGCCUUGUUUGCUAUAGCUCCCCAUGAUGUUUGAGGAGGCCAGUAGCAAGGCCGGAUAGAGCUGAGGCCAAAUUUUGCAGACUCGGCAUGGGCCUCACCACCAUUGGAUUGCCUUGCACGUUGGACAAAUGCUCCUGGGUUGGUCAUAGAUGAAGGUUGGAUUCCUGAGGCUUGGAGUGAUAGUAAAAUCACAUGUUGGGCCAUAUCGGGCUGGAAAGGAAUACUGGAGUAUAAGCCACCCCAUAUGAGACACUCUAGGAAGUCCAUUGUCAACUCGUCAAGUUUCGUCACUUUCACAAAUGGCUCUCUUUUCCACCCAUACAAGUGUACAUGCCAAGUCUUUGGGAUUGCAAUCCACUUGGUGACAAGAACUGUGGUGAACGGUCGGGGGACCAAGGGUGUCGUAGACGACAUCCCACCAAUGACUUUGGAUCGACUGCCACAACGUCCAUGACGACAAGAUAAAGACUGCCGAUUGUUAUUAGCAUAAGUGUGCAUUGCAGCCACAAGUGGUGAGAGAGUCUAGCAUAGUGAAACUGUCGCGAAUGUGACUUCAAGUAUCGAAAGUUACUUGCCAGCCAGUCCUUAAGGACACUCUUACCUUACUACCACGAUGGCAGGAGGUCAGUAUUGCCGGUUCCCUUUAUUAGCCCUUUUUGUUCAAGUGUUAGUAAACUGGACUUUGCAUCUGUACUUAGCCGGAUGAGCAUAAGGAAGGAAUUCCUAAGUGUCUAUUUAGCUGAGCAUACUUGGCCUAGCUUGUUAGUUCUCUUUUGCUCUGUCUUGCACUGGCUUGACAAGAACCCUUGCGUAUUGAGAUUAAUCCCUCAAUAUCACUACAUGAUAGCUUACCGUGUCUGCCAAACACCCUCGCUAUCAUGCCCUUUGUGUUAGUCUCAAUUCGGUCCCAAAUGCUAUUUAUGGAAAGUGUCCAGAUUUGCUCAUUUGGCAUAUCUACGGAAUGUAGAGAUUGUCUUGAACACAACAGUGUUCGUCCCAUGUCCAAAUUUGCAAUCUAGGGACAUUCCAUAUUUAGUAAGUUUCGAGCUUGUCCUAGAGACUAACUCCUGAUACUAAGGGAGGCUUGGGGUGAAAGCCCAAAGCAUGUGUUCCUCAAGGGGGGGGGGGCUAUGGGGGUUUCAAAUGUAUAAUAGAGAUAGUGGGUAGGUUGAGUAUGGCCGACCAACCUAAGGCAUAGUUUAGCUCCCGUUUGCGUGCCUGUCUUUGUUCUACGUUUAGCUUAGGUUUAAGCCCAAGUUCCAUUCCAUGCUAGCUGGUGGAGUACCCAUAUCCUCGCGUUAGGCCACUGGUAUGCCGAAAUAGCGCCAGACUCCAUUUGGCUUCGUUUUAUGUGCUGGUCCUAGCAUUGGGAUGCUGGUUGCUCCAGGACUGUUCCAAGUCGCUCCGGGCUUCUGUCCCUUCCCUCCUUGGGCUGUAUGCUUGAGAGUUGCUCUGUGGUCCGGUUCCAUCACUCCUUGGCUCCAUGCUUGGGAGUUUGGCAUCGUUCCUUCAUUUAGUGGCCCAAGGCUUUGAACCUCGGGUUCCACACCACGUUCCUUUGGACACGUGGCAUGUGACAUGUGGCAUUUGUCAUGUGGCACAAAGAGGGUUUAGGUUCUGCUUCGUGGUAUUAUUCUAUGGUAAAUCACCAUAGGAUAAAGGGUCAAAACCACAUGUGCUACAUGAGUCAAACAAAUUCAAAGAAAAAAAAAGUUGAAGAAUGCAUGGGUCAUAUUAUACCUAUGGCUCACAUGGCAGCUUGCCUUGAGGGUCAGCUUGAACAUAUCUGGAUGUUGAAGCUCCACUAGAUGAUGAUGUCGAUCCUUGGGAGUAGUUGUGGAAUGCUGAUCGGGAACUAUAAACUUGCUGGUGUGGCGCAAUUGUCAACUCACCCUACGCAGAAAAACACAUGGAAAAAAGAUGGGUACAAAUGAAAAACUUACUAAGCUAGACCACUUGUUACUUCGGGAGGUAGAUGGCUAGGUAUUGGCACUUGUACCAGUGGAUGGAGUUGCAUAAGUUGUAGCGGUUGGUGGAGUUAUGGGGCUGGUAGUAGUGGCACUAUAUGGGCUUCUGUGAGUACGUCUUGUAGUUGGUGUUGGUGGCAAUGUUCCAGAUUGGACAACAUUGUGGGCAUAAGGCAUUCGGACUUGCUCAUUUUGGAUGUUUGGGCUGUUGCUUUCCAAGGAAGGCGAGGAGAACGAAACAUGCUAGAGGUUCCGCAUAUAUUGUAGUGUAUGCAAUGUUAGGCAGUGCUCUGCUUGCUCAAAUGUAGUUGGGAGUUGUGGAUGGGAUGCUAUUGGAGUUGAUGUCCCUACUGCAGAGCUUGGAAAAUCAAGUGGCUCACAUGUGUCUCGCGAGACUGUUGGCUAUAUCAAUUGCGGAACAUCGAGUGCUUGGCUACAUGCUCGUGAGGUGUUUCCUACAUAGUGUCUACUGUUGUUGAGGCAUGUGGCAUUCUUGCUUUGAGCCUAGAAACCACAAGGGAUUGGUUAUGCAAACUUGAUCAAGGAGAAGCUACCCACCAUCGCAGCUAUGGCACUCUUGCUUGGGCGGUGGUCCUGCAAUCGAAGGAGUGUGCACUAGAAGCCCUGCCUCCGGUUAGAUGACGCGAAUCGAUUAGAAAAAAUGAAUGAAUCAUCGACAAAAAUUAUGUCAUAAAAUGAAAUCGCCUCAUAUCCAAGACACAAUUAAUAUGGGUGGGACUUGGUGUAAACCCUAAUCCUGAACGUGGGAACCCUAAAAUUGAAGAAAUCAAGAAUUGAAUUUAAAUUUGAAAUGUACUCUAAAGAAUACUCAGUUUUCUCUGAGUAUGGCUAAGCAUAAUUUUUCCAAAGCUUGUCGCUUCACUAGUGUUGCUGUAGGCAAGGCACUCUCAAUGUAAAGUGGUAGAUCUACACCUGCAACAUCAACCAUUGCACAUUCCAUUUCUAAAUCCAAAUGAAGUAGAUAUUGUUUGUCCAAGUUGAGUCCCUCCCGAUGUAUAAAAAAUACUUGGUUUCGAACAGUGCCAAGAGCCUGUAAGGUAGUUAAGCACAACGAAAUAAAUUUAAAGAAAUUGUUCUAUUCUUGCUCUAAAGAUUACCUUUGACAGAGUUGCACCUUCGACAUUGGAGAGAAAUGGUCUAGGAAGGUUUUCAAUAUCUUUUCCACAACACCGGCAUAAUCUUACAAAUGCACAAUUUAUAAAGAAUUCUAUAACAUUACCAAAAUUCUUACCCAAGCUCUUGUUCCAUCAGUUGAAAUAAGUUUGCAAGAACAUGAGAUAGUCUGAAGUAAUCAUCACAUCAAUAUAGACGGACUUCAUGGAGGUUCUAGGUUGCAACCCAGUGUGAAAUGUCCUUCUUGAGGUAUGGAGCAAAGACACAACAUAGACUUUGGUUGUGCCAUGGAUUAGAUACAUCAAGAAUUCUUAUGUCUUCCAAAAACCACACCAUGUGCUCAAAGAGCUCUCUUCACAAAUGCUCUAUGCAUUGCAAAACAAAUUUGAUUUAGUCUUUAUUUGGAAAAACUCUAACACUAUGAGUACUUGGUUACAUGUUGAUGUCUCAUGUAUGAAGCUCCUAGCUGUAGAACCUUAAUAGCGGACCAUGUCCUUCUCAACUUCAUUGUGCUCUGGAGCAUUGUUGCUCUGGAUCCGCUUGGGCCUUCCAAAUUGAUAAACAAUCUGUGCAUAUGUGUUGAAUAUUGCAUGGGAUUCUUUGGAGGUAGCUAGCUCACAAACUACAAUAUAAUAAGUUGCACCGCAAAUAAUGGCAUAUAUAUAGAAACCAUAGCUUACAAACUCGCAAUAUGCUACAAUAAACAUGUUACCACAUAUGUUGAAAUGAAAGAAUAUUCACAAUCUAUAUGGCAAACAGCAUAAGCCUCUUCGUUCUUAUAAAUCUGUCGUCAAAUCCUUGUCAUGUGCCUCUGUUCUAGCAUAGUUGGAUCGUGAGUGGCUAAGGCGUCACAAAUUUGGCGUCAGCUAAACCAAUAUCCUCCACUUCGACAGGUAGAUUGGGAAUUGAUAAUUCCCCCAGUUUGUGCCACCUCGAGUCAUAGCAUUGUUAGUUCAAACAUGAUGAAGUACCUCUUCGGGUGGUACUUUAUAAUAUACACCUCUCCAAUUUGGAUUGACAAGCCGCAUAUAUUUGUACAGUGUUGGCUUGGAAAUUCUAAGAUAGCAUGCGAGGUAAGCAAUAGUCUUAGUCUUGAGGAUCUUCAGGUGCAUCCAUGUGCCAAAUGUGGUUGGACUACCAAAUCCCCUCAAUCACAAAAAAUUAUGGAAAGCCUAAAAACGUGCAAAUCAUGACUCUAGGAGGCUAGAAACUAAACAAACCUCUAGGAGAGCAUUAUUGACACUAUCCACACCAGAACCACAGUCCGAAUCACUAAAAUUGGAUGGAAGGCCAUCCACCUCGUCUUCCAGUAAACCUAGAAGAAAAAGUUUCAGUGACACAAAUUUGAAGUAAACUAGGGAGAGAACUAUACUCAUGGUAAGAACUUGAAAGAGCAAUCAAGUAGUAAAUCAAAGCCACUUCCAACAUUGCCCAUAAAAACAUUUGAAACCAAUCACUAGCAAAACAAGUUACUUUCCGCAUUUGCUACCAAGAAACAUGCCAAAUAACAAAGCACUAAAGCAAGGCGCUAAGGCAAGGAAGCACCUCCUAAACCCUAUGACCUAAUGAAUCCCUAUGUCAUGGGGUCAAACUUGAUGAUAUGUGGCAUCUAUGUAUAGCACAUUGUUCAUAUUAUGGGGACAUCAUCGACCCAUCAGGCUAGCAUCCAUGGGGUAUCCAUGAGGCAUCCAAAUGACAGUUAAUGCUGAACCAAUAGAAAAUUGCCACAUGGACACUAUAUUGUGAGUGAAAUCUACCACAGUAACACUCACCCUUUUAUGAAUUGCACACCAUACAAACAAUGUUAUUCACAACUUCUAGCAUUUGUGCUCUGCUGCAAGGGAAUGGUAUGGGAAAGAAUGUGUCCUUUUGGUACUAAAAUGCCAUGAUUUAUUGCAAAUGUGUUGGUGAUAAAGCCAACGUUAGUUGGGUGUCUUUUAAGUUGCAAGAAGGUGUGAAACACAAAAUCCCUAGGCCCCAAAGUGGAGCCGGAAGGGUGCCAUGUGGUGGUGGCCGAAGCGAAAACCAAAUGAGCGUAACACGUUUGGUCUAAAAAGCUCCGACUUGAAAAGGUCGAGAGUGGGAGUGGAACUCCUAACGAAGUGCUUGAGGAACGAGCACAAAGCGAGCAAUAAGCGAGGCUCCAAAAAAGGGACCCAGAAAGAACCAACACAUGACACGCAGAAGUGUCCGAGAUGGACCCGAGAUGGAGUCCGAGAUGGAGCCCGAGAUGGAGCCCGAGAUGGAGUCUGAGAUGGAGUCCGAGAUGGAGCCCGAGAUGGAACCGAGACCGAGACCGAGACCGAGGCCGAGACCGAGGUUGAGUCCGAAACCGGAACCGAGACUGAGUUCGAGUUUGGGUUUGAGCCCGAGUCUGAGUCCGAAUACUAAUACAGGCAGUUGAGUGAAAGCCCAAAGCGAUCGUUCCACAGGGGGGGGGGGGGGGGGGGGGGGCCCCCCUGGGGUUCCAAAAGUAUAGUAGGGAGAGUGGGGGUUGGAGCCCAAUGGAGUCAGUUUGGCUAGAAAGGGCCAGUUUGGCCCAGGAAAGGCUAGUUUGGCCCAGGAAGGCCAUACCCAGUGUUGGGUGAUGAACUGACCACUAGGAAGUCCAAGACUAGAGUGAAUACGGACCGACAAGCGGGGUAGCUUGGUGAAGUGUUCAAAAGUUGGCUCUAGUUCCUCCGGGAGAUCAACUGACCGAUGCUCCCAGUCCAAGUGUGGGUGGCACUACCUACUUGGAUACCUGGUGUGGCUCAACGGAACCUCGCUCUAAGCCUCUGGCUAGAGCACCCAAAGGCAGAAGGCGGGAAGAGUACCCAUGAGGCCCGCGUAGGGCCAUGGUGGUGAGGAAGUCCUAGAGGACCGUGGGACUUAGUGGUUGGGCCUAUGGGCCUCGAUCCAGUGGCAGUGUUGGUGAACACGGCCAUGGGCAGAAAGGGACUUGGUGAAGACUGGAAAAGGGAUAUUGGGGAAGGUUAUUCCCCAUGUCUGUGAGCAUCCUAAGGAUGCUAAGGAGUGGAUCUGGAAUGAUCACUCUUGGACGGAUGGCCCAGUCCUUGAGAGAUGGGACUGUGAUGUAGGUGGUGUUAGACUUCCGGUGUGACCAAGGUAAAGGGGCAUGGCCUUAGCAUAAUGGGCUGAUAUGUCAGUGGUACCUUGGGGUGUCGGUCAUGGGAUUGGACACGUGGAGCACUUGGAUCAAGUGCAAAGGUUGAGUGGCGGGGAUGCCAUUCUCGGGGCUAGCAAGCCCAAGUCUGAAAUAGGACUUAUGGAGGUUGUGAGUGAGACUCCUCCAAGUGGUUGGAGGUGUGGUUAAGUGACUAAAGUAGAAUGGAAAAUUUAGUCGUUUACAGAAGGCAAUGCUAUGUAUUAUGAAAUCAGAAAGACAGUUGGUGGUGUCAACUUGGUGUUUGAUUUGGUGACAUAAAAAAUUUGCAGUGCUAGCUAUUGUACGCCUUUUGAGUUAGUCAUGCCUAAAUGCCGACUCUUGAGUAGCACAACAGCCUCAAAUUUGAAUUCUCUACAUUCAUCCUUUUGUCCCUUCUUGUGUGACAUUCUAAUGUUUUGCAUCAAGUUCUAAAAGACCUAAAUGUAGCGGAAGACACUGGUGGAAAAUAAAUAAAUCAUUUAAAAAGAAUCAAGCAUCAUCUUCAAGCUGGCCACUUCAGUCACACUUCAGUUGCUUAGUUGGGGGCCAUUUGGGCACUUUGAAAUCCAGGUUUGGAAGGGAAUCCAGGUCCACUAGGGACUCAAACUUGAAAGCUUCUGAGGUGUCCAUAGUAUGGAUGGCAAUGGCAUCAGUAGUGAGCGAAUCAUAACAAAUCUCCCCAAUAUAUAGCUUGUCCCCCUUCAGUACCGAAAGCUCUUGAGACGUCCAGAGUGGCAUCGGCAUUGAGCAGUAUGUGGGCUGUCCACAGCUGGAUGAAGCUCUUGAGAAGUCCAGAGUAUUCAGCAAAUCUCCUGAGUAUGCGGCCGGUCCACUGCUAGAUGCUCCUUCAGUACCGAAAGCUCCUAAGAGGUCCAGAGUAGGGAGGGGGAUGGCAUCAGCAUUGAGCAAAUCUCCCCAAUAUGCUGCCUGUCCACUACUGGAUGCUCUUUCAGUACCAAUUGCCCCAUGUGCCAGAUUCAAGCCAAGACUAGUUACUAUAUCCCACCGAUCUUCACCUUGGUAGGCGCUUGGAACAGCACCAUUGCUUGAUGCUCCCUGGGCUCAAGCUAGACAAUCAGUCUCCUCUGCCCCUCUUGGAAUCCACUUUGUUGCUGCCGCCUGGAAAAAGAACAUGGGGAGCAUUCCUUCUUUCGCCCCUGCCCCUACCCCUACCCCUCCUAGAAUCCACUCAGCUACUGCUACCGCUGCCGCCCCUUCCAAUCCCACCGAUCCCACUACAUCUAGUCCCCAUAGUGGAAUUCCAAAAGCCAAUGGAAUUCCCAUUGCAAUGACGGGAGUGGGGGAGAGUAGCGGAGAGCCAAGUACCUGCAUUGCAGCUCUCGCCUAGUCCGCUAGUGCCGUAAAGGAGAUUAUCAAAGAGCCAGGUACCACUUGUGCUGGGGACUCUACCACCUAGUCCAUUGGCGCCAUAAGGGAGAGUAUCGGAGAGCCUGGUACUGCUCGUGCCGCCUGGUCUGCUGGCACCAUGAGGGAGAGGGUCAGAGAGCUGUGCACCUACAUAGCAGCUCGCGCCACCUGGUCCGCUGGUGUCAUGAGGGAGAGGGUCAGAGAGUUGGGCACCUACAUAGCAGCUCGUGCCGCCUGGUCUGUUGGCAUGGUGAGAGAGAGCGUCAGAGAGCCGGGCACCUACAUAGCAGCUCGAAUCGCCUAGUUCGUUGGCACCGCGAGGGAGAGUAUUAGACAAUUGGGCACUUGCAUAACAGCUCUGUCCGUUGGCACCGCUUGUGCCGGACUCACUAGCUGCACCCCUCCAGUUUGGAAUCCUCGAUUCAUAGCACCCCUUAGACCUAGACACUCUGGGCAAUGCACAAGGCGAUGCGCCAUACUCCCCAGGCAAUUUGCAGCUUGCGCUCGGGUGCCAGCCUGGAAUGCUGGACUCAUAGCUUGCCCUAGAGCAGCUUGUGCCUCCAUUGUGCCUCUAUUGCUCUUUGUGGGACAAGCAAAUCUCCCUAGAGUAUGAGCUCCUGUGUUUUUCUCACCAUGGCUUAACCUAAUAAAAAAUGUGUUGUGAAGUUACAUUUAUCCCAUAGUAUAUUCUAAAGAAUAUUUUUCCUUUGUGGUUUACCUUGCUCUACUCCUUGUAGACAUUGAAUAUCAAGUAUAAAAACUACCAAUGGCACAGAAUCCUCAUUUAGAAAAUCCACAAAUGCUAGAACAACAAGCUCGUAAAAAAUAUGAUAAGAGAGCGAAGAAGGAAGAAGAGCUUAAGAAAAGGCAUUAACAUCAGUCAUAAAACUCUUCAGUCGAUCAACAACAUCAAAAUCAUAUAUCUGAAACUUCAAAACCCACCAAACAAUACAAUCAAUCAAGUUCUUCCGCUUCAAUAAUGAAGUAAUAGCAGCAUAAUCACUUUCAAAUAACGUCCGAGAACCAUGUAGAUAUCCAUGAAGUUUCUCAAAACCCCAAACUGCUGCUAAACACUCUUUCUCUGUUGUGGAGUAGUUCACCUCCACUAGUUGUAAUGUACGGUUUAUAUAUGCAAUGGGAUGGCACUGACCAGGCACACUCACCUUCAAGACCAAUAACAAAAGCAUCAAUGCGCAAAAUAAAAGGUCAAGUGUAGUCAAGAUAUACCAAAACUAGAGGAGUCGUCAAUAGCUCUUUGAGAUCCACGAAUGCCCACUCACAAUCCGGAAACUAGAUGAAAGAUGACAUUGAUGACUUCAGCAGCACUCGCAAUGAUGUAGUGUGAUUAGAAAGGUGAUCCACAAAAUGGCCGAGAUACUGCACCUUGACUAGGAAGUGUUGCAUAUCAUUUACACACUUCAGAAUAGGGAACUUUAGAAUAGUUACAAGUUUAUUAAAAUCAACUUGUAAACCCUCACAGGAAAUAUGGUACCCAAGAUAAAUUGUGUCCUUAGACCCAAACACGCACUUCGACUGCUUUAGCUUUAAACCAACAUCUCGUGGCCGAUCCAACACUUUACAAACAUCACAAAUGUGCUCUUUCCACAUCCCCUCUGAAUGGAUUAAGACAUCAUCAAUGAAAUCAAUAAUCACCUUUGGCAUAUCGCAAAGAAUUUCGUCUAUCAUCCACUGGAAAGUUGCUAAAGCAUUGUUCAAACCAAACGGCAUCACCAAGAACUAGUACAAACCAAAUAGUGUAUAAAAAGUAGUCUUAGGAAUAUUUUCUUUGGCUAUCGGUACUUGCCAAUACCCAAAAGCAAGAUUUAGAUUGGUGAACUAAUGAUUUCGCCCCAGACGAUUGAAGAGAUCAACAAUAUGAAGAAGAGGGUACACAUAUGGGAUUAUCACUUUGUUUAACAAACGAUAAUCGAUGCAAAAAUGAAUACUCCCAUCAAGCUUCAUCACAAGAUGAAGUUCACACGCCCAAGGACUUCACAACUUUCGAAUAACACCCUUCUCCAACAUUUCCUUGAUAUUUGCACGUAAAAUUUUGAUCUCUUUGGGUGACCAACGACAAACAGAAACCUUGAUUGGACAAGCAUCCCUGUUUGGAACCGAAUGACAUGUGGCAAUCUUGGCCCUAAACGAUAGAUCAAUUUCAAAGAGAUCAAAAUACUCCUUCAUGAGCCGGUCAACUGCUGCAACACAAAUAUUGUCGAAGGGAUCGAAAAAGGGAAGAGCAGAACAAGAUGGAAACAUAGGAGGAAGUAGUGAGGGGACAAAAGUAAUAGAAACAGAGGUAAAAGCAAAGGGACAAAGAGGUACGGAAGUGAGAGGAAUGGAUGAAAUAUAUAAAGAAGUAUGAGAUAAGGGGGAGAAGCCUCAAAGUCACAUUUGGCAUGAUUACACUACAACUAAUCUAUACCAAAGAUGAAGUCAAAAGCCCUACUCAGCACCACCCACAAUGAUUGUAACCCAAGCUGAAAAUUGCCCACACGCACAACUAAGUUUGCCUCAUCCCAUGUACAUGUAUAUGUAUGGCCGUUGCUAUAAAAAUGAAAACUGGCUCCACCACACGACACAAGUGUAGAAAACAACAUGUGGCAAAAAAUUGAGCAAUAGAAAAUAAACUCAAACAUAUAUCAACCAAUACAGACAAAAUAAUAGGAGACCACUUGUUAUAAAAACAAGCUUGGAAAGUAAACACUGGAUGAAUUGGUGCCGAGUGAACCCCUUGAUGAUACUCCCGAAAAAAAGAUGGAAGGGUCAUUGACUUAUUCAUGCAAAGUCCCUCUAUUACUCGUGUGACUCUUUGUUUCCUAAAUGCAUCUCGAUGUCCAGAUCUUCCACUGCAACAGCACCAACAGGACGUUGUUGAUGCCAAAGUCUCCACCUAGGAAAUGAUGGCCGCCAAUCUGGAAAAUGCAGAUAACACUGAUAAAUAUGACCAACUUCAUCACAUGCCCAGCAAUGAACAUCACAGCCAUGACCACGGCCUCGCCUUUGUCCUUGGACUUGAGCAGCAACAGCAUCAACCUCCAUUGGAAUAGGACCAUCACUCAUAGGAAGUGGAGCUGAAAGACAUGCAACGAGAAGUGGAAGAGGUGACGUCUCAUAACGUUGUGCCAAGCGAAGAGCAUCGUCAAAGGUGGCAAGAGCAAUUGCAUGCAUAAGUCCGACAAGAUCUUGAUGAAGUGUUGGCCACAACAUUCUUAGCUCAAGCCACUCUGAUAUAUUUGGCUCCGCACGAAGCAAGAAGUUUCGGAAACGAAUGCCAAAUUGCAUCACCGACUCAAAUGACCCUUGACGAAGACGAUGCAAUUGUUAGAAGGCAUCAUCACAAUCAUUGGCAUGUCCAAAUGUAGGUUUGAAGACGUCUGAGAGAACACUCCAAUCCCCACGAGUGGCUAUGCUCAAACCAUUAUACCAAUGCAAUGCUGUCCUUUGGAGACACGUGGGAAACUUACACAAACAUCAAGCAUCAUCCCAAGAAUGAUAUGUGGCAAUCACCGUGAAGUGAUCAAACCAAUGGUACACAUCAUCCCUGGCAUUCAUGGCACGUGGUACAACUCCUCUUGCUCUUGGUGCCAAUCCUCGCAUUUGGCCGGAAUUCUUUCGCGGGAAUCCUACCAUUAACUAAGUUUAGUUAUUCAAUUGCAAUCGCAUAGCAUCAAACAAUUGUAUUAACUGCUGCUCCAAAGUCAAAGGAGCAGGAGAUUGCUAAUCUGCCAUGAAAAUGAAUGAAAUGGAAGAGCAAAAGAAGAGAAAUGGAAAAAAGCUAGAAAGAAAGGGAGAUCUAAACAAUGCAAAAAGCUAGAUUUAAACCAAAAUCUUAAAAGGAAAGAACAAAAGAAAGGAAAUGGAAAAAGCUAAAUCCAAAGGAUGCAAAAGCUAAAUCUAAACCAAAAUCCCAAAUCCAAGCACUCCUCAGAGACAAUUAAAAGUGCCCCUUAACACCACCAAUGUGAGUGCAUGGAAUUAUAGAAAGGGAAUAUUGAAAAUGUGCAUAUCAAUUAACCUAAAAACCUUCACUUAUAUAUAAGAACAAAUGGUCCAGAUUGAAACCAAUCCGACAGUUACCAAAAUCCCAUUAUACUAAUAUUAAAAUCUGACAUAAUAGCCAUACACUUGGACCUCACAUUUCUUUUUCCUUUUUUUUUGGUUUGUUUCACAAGAGGUGGUGGCAGCAAUGACUCACACAUUCGAGUGGGACCAAAGCCUUGUUGUACCUCUGGAGUGCUGGGUUCAAAGGAGCUCACUCAUUUAUCAGUACAGGCCUUGCGAGGUUUCAUACUUGAUGGACUUUAAGGAUGCAAGCUUGUAGAUUGGCCGUCUGAUCUACAUUGCAGCAUGACCAUGUCGAGCUCCAGAUGCUGUGCUCGACAAGCAAGUCGAUCGUGGAGCACGCACAGUCAGUGACAGUGGGAAGCAGCGACGAGUGCCAGCUCUACUGUGCCGCCCCUGCCGUUUUCGGCAAGGAUUUUAGCGGCCAUUUCGUGCAGCUGUGCAGGAACGUCCAGUGGGAGCCGGAUGGGGUCCCUUGCUCGCAAUCUGAGCUUGGAGAAAUAAGGGAGCUGGCAUGGAGAGGGCUGAUUCUAGUCUUCAACUUCCAGCACAGAGUUCUGGAGCAUUACUUUGAUGAUGGCCAUAAACAAAUGAGUAUUGUGCUGUUCGGUGCCAUGGUCGUCUACAUUGUUCACAUAUGCACACUCUUUUCGUUGGAAUGUGUUUCUGAUUUGUUUCCUUUUUUCUUGUGUGUUGUUUUGCACAGCUGAUAUUUGAGGAUCACUUGGCUCUAGACAUUGAUCACAAAGCGUCACAAGAAUGUGAGUGACAUGAAUUAUCUAUCUUUGCUUUGUGGAAGUAUUUACUAAAGCUGUUUAUGUAGGGAUGGUGGCUCUAAAUAGUCACCCAAACCUUGAUACAAUCUGGAGCACAAGAGGCAUUUUUAUUGCAUCAGAUGCGACUAAGAAGAGAUGUCUAACUCUUGAGAAGUUGAUAAACUCUCCCAAAAUACAGGGGGCCCUGGGAGCCAGCGCUGAUGAAAUAGGUGAUGCUAUGGUCAAGGCGAUUGCAGUUGGUGGUACAUAUUAUGAUUGGGAACACAAAGAGUUGUGGUUUAAAAUGGCAAAAAUAUUUAGAUGGAGUUAUGAGAGGCUCACUGCAUAUAUUAUAACAUAUGCAAUUU
rnacentral:lncRNA from 1 species